rnacentral:rRNA from 1 species
GCCAAAAAAGGGUUUUUUUUUUAAAUUUUUUUCCCGCAGAUGAACGCUGGCGGCAGGCCUAACACAUGCAAGUCGAGCGGUAGCACACGAGAGCUUGCUCUCCGGGUGACGAGCGGCGGACGGGUGAGUAAUGUCUGGGAAACUGCCUGAUGGAGGGGGAUAACUACUGGAAACGGUAGCUAAUACCGCAUAACGUCGCAAGACCAAAGUGGGGGACCUUCGGGCCUCAUGCCAUCAGAUGUGCCCAGAUGGGAUUAGCUAGUAGGUGAGGUAAUGGCUCACCUAGGCGACGAUCCCUAGCUGGUCUGAGAGGAUGACCAGCCACACUGGAACUGAGACACGGUCCAGACUCCUACGGGAGGCAGCAGUGGGGAAUAUUGCACAAUGGGCGCAAGCCUGAUGCAGCCAUGCCGCGUGUAUGAAGAAGGCCUUCGGGUUGUAAAGUACUUUCAGCGAGGAGGAAGGCAUUAAGGUUAAUAACCUUGGUGAUUGACGUUACUCGCAGAAGAAGCACCGGCUAACUCCGUGCCAGCAGCCGCGGUAAUACGGAGGGUGCAAGCGUUAAUCGGAAUUACUGGGCGUAAAGCGCACGCAGGCGGUCUGUCAAGUCGGAUGUGAAAUCCCCGGGCUCAACCUGGGAACUGCAUCCGAAACUGGCAGGCUAGAGUCUUGUAGAGGGGGGUAGAAUUCCAGGUGUAGCGGUGAAAUGCGUAGAGAUCUGGAGGAAUACCGGUGGCGAAGGCGGCCCCCUGGACAAAGACUGACGCUCAGGUGCGAAAGCGGGGGAGCAAACAGGAUUAGAUACCCUGGUAGUCCACGCUGUAAACGAUGUCGACUUGGAGGUUGUUCCCUUGAGGAGUGGCUUCCGGAGCUAACGCGUUAAGUCGACCGCCUGGGGAGUACGGCCGCAAGGUUAAAACUCAAAUGAAUUGACGGGGGCCCGCACAAGCGGUGGAGCAUGUGGUUUAAUUCGAUGCAACGCGAAGAACCUUACCUACUCUUGACAUCCAGAGAACUUAGCAGAGAUGCUUUGGUGCCUUCGGGAACUCUGAGACAGGUGCUGCAUGGCUGUCGUCAGCUCGUGUUGUGAAAUGUUGGGUUAAGUCCCGCAACGAGCGCAACCCUUAUCCUUUGUUGCCAGCGAUUCGGUCGGGAACUCAAAGGAGACUGCCAGUGAUAAACUGGAGGAAGGUGGGGGAUGACGUCAAGUCAUCAUGGCCCUUACGAGUAGGGCUACACACGUGCUACAAUGGCAUAUACAAAGAGAAGCGACCUCGCGAGAGCAAGCGGACCUCAUAAAGUAUGUCGUAGUCCGGAUCGGAGUCUGCAACUCGACUCCGUGAAGUCGGAAUCGCUAGUAAUCGUGGAUCAGAAUGCCACGGUGAAUACGUUCCCGGGGCCUUGUACACACCGCCCGUCAACCAUGGGGAAGUGGGUUGCAAAAAGAAGUAGGUAGCUUAACCUUCCGGGAGGGCGCUUACCACUUUGUGAUUCAUGACUGGGGUGAUCAGAAAAAAAACCCCCCCAAAAAAAAAAAAAGCCGCGAAAAAUA